GCAAUCGACCAAAGAAUAGAGAAAACAGCGGUUCCCGUCAGCUCACCUGCACUCAAGCUCUGUGUUGCCGAAUUGGUAGUUGAGUGGGUGACCAUCAACGAAUACUUGGUGUUGAUUGUU
rfam:Cyphellophora europaea CBS 101466 unplaced genomic scaffold supercont1.3, whole genome shotgun sequence.